rnacentral:rRNA from 1 species
UGGGGAAUUUUGGACAAUGGGCGAAAGCCUGAUCCAGCCAUGCCGCGUGCAGGAUGAAGGCCUUCGGGUUGUAAACUGCUUUUGUACGGAACGAAAAGACGCUGAUUAAUACCUGGGGUCCAUGACGGUACCGUAAGAAUAAGCACCGGCUAACUACGUGCCAGCAGCCGCGGUAAUACGUAGGGUGCAAGCGUUAAUCGGAAUUACUGGGCGUAAAGCGUGCACAGGCGGUUAUAUAAGACAGAUGUGAAAUCCCCGGGCUCAACCUGGGAAACUGCAUUUGUGACUGUAUAGCUAGANUACGGCAGAGGGGGGCAUGGAAUUCCGCGUGUAGCAGUGAAAAUGCGUAGAUAUGCGGAGGGACACCNAUGGNGAAGGCAAUCCCUGGGCCUGUACUGACGCUCAUGCACGAAAGCGUGGGGAGCAAACAGGAUUAGAUACCCUGGUAGUCCACGCCCUAAAACGAUGUCAACUGGUUGUUGGGUCUUCACUGACUCAGUAACGAAGCUAACGCGUGAAGUUGACCGCCU